rnacentral:rRNA from 1 species
GUAGGGAAUAUUGGGCAAUGGGUGCAAGCCUGACCCAGCCAUCCCGCGUGCCGGAUGAAGGCCCUCUGGGUCGUAAACGGCUUUUGACGGUGAAGAACCGAAAGGGUGCGCCCUUUUUUGACGGUAGCCGUUGAAUAAGCACCGACUAACUCCGUGCCAGCAGCCGCGGUAAUACGGAGGGUGCGAGCGUUGUCCGGAUUUAUUGGGUUUAAAGGGUGCGUAGGCUGGAGGGACAGUCAGCGGUGAAAAGCAGUUGCUCAACAAUUGUCUUGCCGCAGAUACUACCUUUCUUGGAUUGGGAGGAGGUUACCGGAACGGAUGGUGUAGCGGUGAAAUGCAUAGAUAUCAUCCAGAACGCCAAUUGCGAAGGCAGGUAACUGUACCUAUAUCGACGCUGAUGCACGAAAGCAUGGGUAGCGAACAGGAUUAGAAACCCGAGUAGUCC